GAUGAACGCUGGCGGCGUGCCUAAUACAUGCAAGUCGAGCGAACAGACGAGGAGCUUGCUCCUCUGACGUUAGCGGCGGACGGGUGAGUAACACGUGGAUAACCUACCUAUAAGACUGGGAUAACUUCGGGAAACCGGAGCUAAUACCGGAUAAUAUAUUGAACCGCAUGGUUCAAUAGUGAAAGACGGUUUUGCUGUCACUUAUAGAUGGAUCCGCGCCGCAUUAGCUAGUUGGUAAGGUAACGGCUUACCAAGGCAACGAUGCGUAGCCGACCUGAGAGGGUGAUCGGCCACACGGGAGCUGAGACACGGUCCAGGCUCCUACGGGAGGCAGCAGUAGGGAAUCUGCCGCAGUGGGCGAAAGCCUGACGGAGCAACGCCGCGUGAGUGAUGAAGGUCUUCGGAUCGUAAAACUCUGUUAUUAGGGAAGAACAAAUGUGUAAGUAACUAUGCACGUCUUGACGGUACCUAAUCAGAAAGCCCCGGCUAACUACGUG
rnacentral:rRNA from 1 species